rnacentral:rRNA from 1 species
GACGAACGCUGGCGGCGUGCUUAACACAUGCAAGUCGAACGGACAGGCCCUGCUUUUGUGGGGUGCUCGAGUGGCGAACGGGUGAGUAACACGUGAGUAACCUGCCCUUGACUUUGGGAGAACUUCAGGAAACUGGGGCUAAUACCGGAUAGGAGCUCCUGCUGCAUGGUGGGCGUUGGAAAGUUUCGGCGGUUGGGGCUGGACUCGCGGCUUAUCAGCUUGUUGGUGGGGUAGGGGCUUACCAAGGCUUUGACGGGUAGCCGGCCUGAGAGGGUGACCGGCCACAUUGGGACUGAGGGACGGCCCAGACGCCUACGGGAGGCAGCAGUGGGGAAUAUUGCAGAAUGGGCGGAAGCCUGAUGCAGCAACGCCGCGUGCGGGAUGACGGCCUUCGGGUUGUAAACCGCUUUCGCCUGUGACGAAGCGUGAGUGACGGUAAUGGGUAAAGAAGCACCGGCUAACUACGUG